UACCAUAGCGGAGGAAAAGAAACCAACAGGGAUUGCCUCAGUAACGGCGAGUGAAGCGGCAAAAGCUCAAAUUUGAAAUCUGGUACCUUUGGUGCCCGAGUUGUAAUUUGAAGAUAGUUUUCUGGUGCUGGCCCUUGUCUAUGUUCCUUGGAACAGGACGUCACAGAGGGUGAGAAUCCCGUCUGGCGGGGUGUCCAGUGCUUUGUAGAUUUCUAUCGACGAGUCGAGUUGUUUGGGAAUGCAGCUCUAAGUGGGUGGUAAAUUCCAUCUAAAGCUAAAUAUUGGCGAGAGACCGAUAGCGAACAAGUACAGUGAUGGAAAGAUGAAAAGAACUUUGAAAAGAGAGUGAAAAAGUACGUGAAAUUGUUGAAAGGGAAGGGUAUUAGAUCAGACUUGGUGUUUUGUGAUUAUCUUCCCUUCUUGGGUUGUGCACUCGCAUUUCACUGGGCCAGCAUCGGUUCGGGUGGUAAGAUAAUGACAUUGGAACGUGGCACUGCCUUCGGGUGGUGUGUUAUAGCCCUUGUUGAUGUUGCCUACCUGGACCGAGGACUGCGGUCUUUUGCCUAGGAUGCGGCGUAAUCUAAC
rnacentral:rRNA from 1 species